UGGACACAAAGCUUUCGGGUCAAAGGAUUCCUCCUGGCCUUUGCUCACCCACCUGAACAUAUGUGCCAAUCUGCAGUUGCAGGAGAAAGACAAUUCAGAAGGGAAUCAUCAGGAGCUUCAAAAAUGAGGCAGUUGGAAUCAAAGCAUGCAUCUGAAAUGGUUUCUUUUCUAGAUGGCUAGAUCACAGCUAAAUUUAUCCCAGAUGCUGCAUCUGAUCAAGCACAAUAACUGAAGAUUUGGUCGGUGAGCGCAAGACAGUUAUGUGAGCUAGCUGCAAUAACAUAUAUAUCAUGCUAGCUGUGCAAAGAGUGAUGGCUGACCAAAGAAUAAUCCAUGUGCAUAGCUCAUGUGGAGCCCCUUGAAGGGAGGGUUUCAGGAGCUAGAAUAGUGACCAUUUCUUGCUUGGAGAAAUGCAAAGGGAUGGUUAGUUUAUCGGCAUUGCGCCAUGUGAUGGCUUAUUCCAUCAGUUGAGAGCAGCACUUGAGUUCAUGUGGCCUGUCUCCCAUGGUGAUCUUGCAAGGUUUCACAAAGCACAAGUUGUGCCUUGUUCAUAUUUUUCUAUCCCCCUCCUCUUUUGUCUUAGGACCACUCAUUUCUUGGAUCUGCUGCACUUCGGUCGCCGCGCCCAUCCUGUCAAAAUGAUUAGAUUCAGAGACAACACUUGUUUCAGGGGAAAAAAAAUACUGAACUACUGACUAGAGUGUGACUGUGUUGUUGUGUGAAGUGUACCAGGACCAGACUAGGUAAUAACCAGCCAUAUGUCCCU
rnacentral:sRNA from 1 species